GUCCUCGUGGAGUAACGAAGCUCCCUCCCGUUCAUUAAGCUUUCCAUGUGAUCCUGAAUUUCAGGGAGAGCCGGUGGUUCGAACCCACCCGAGGACA